UUUAACAUCUGCAGCUAUUUCUGCGUGUUCUCUCCAAACAUCUUCAUCUGAUCCACUGAAGCACAGAGGACUCUUAAAGGCAUCGUUGGACUUACUAUGGGCGAACGUUCAACAAAAAGCAAGAACAGAAGUUUCUCGAAUUCAGCUGCUCCUGCAAAUCACUCUCAGACGGAUGCGAUGCACACUCAUGACUGUGCUCAAUCACCAUCUGAUGCUGACGUAACCCCUCGACCCGAAACUCCAGAAACGUCCAGUGGCCAAGCAGUCGCGUAUAACACCGCACGACGAUGUGCCAGACUCUGUUCUUUUGGCUGCGAUUG